CCUGACUGCUAUCGGAUUGAUACUAAGCCAUGCGAGUCAUUGUAGCAAUACAAGGCAUACGGCUCAGUAACGCGUAGUCGACCUAACCUAUGGACGGGAAUAACCUCGGGAAACUGAGAAUAAUGCCCGAUAGAACACUAUACCUGGAAUGGUUUGUGUUCCAAAUGAUCUAUCGCCAUAGGAUGGGACUGCGGCCUAUCAGUUUGUUGGUGAGGUAAUGGCCCACCAAGACUAUUACAGGUACGGGCUCUGAGAGGAGUAGCCCGGAGAUGGGUACUGAGACACGGACCCAGGCCCUAUGGGGCGCAGCAGGCGAGAAAACUUUGCAAUGUGCGAAAGCACGACAAGGUUAAUCCGAGUGAUUUGUGCUAAACGAAUCUUUUGUUAGUCCUAGAAACACUAACGAAUAAGGGGUGGGCAAGUUCUGGUGUCAGCCGCCGCGGUAAAACCAGCACCUCAAGUGGUCAGGAUGAUUAUUGGGCCUAAAGCAUCCGUAGCCGGCACUGUAAGUUUUCGGUUAAAUCUGUACGCUUAACGUACAGGCUGCCGGGAAUACUGCAGAGCUAGGGAGUGGGAGAGGUAGACGGUACUCGGUAGGAAGUGGUAAAAUGCUUUGAUCUAUCGAUGACCACCUGUGGCGAAGGCGGUCUACCAGAACACGUCCGACGGUGAGGGAUGAAAGCUGGGGGAGCAAACCGGAUUAGAUACCCGGGUAGUCCCAGCUGUAAACUAUGCAAACUCAGUGAUGCAUUGGCUUGUGGCCAAUGCAGUGCUGCAGGGAAGCCGUUAAGUUUGCCGCCUGGGAAGUACGUACGCAAGUAUGAAACUUAAAGGAAUUGGCGGGGGAGCACCACAAGGGGUGAAGCCUGCGGUUC
rnacentral:rRNA from 1 species